UGCGGGAUCGUCUAAUGGUAGGACACGACUCUCUGGAAGUUGUAAUCAUGGUUCGAAUCCAUGUCCCGCAACCA
rnacentral:tRNA from 1 species